CCCGCCUGGACUACGGCAACUCCCUCCUGGCUCAUCCAGAAUGCAGCAGCUCGACUGGUCUUUAACCUUCCGAAAUUCUCCCACACUACUCCACUCCUCCGCUCUCUUCACUGGCUACCGGUGGCUGCCCGCAUCCAGUUCAAAACAUUGGUGCUCAAGUACCAUGCUGUGAAUGGAUCGGGUCCAGCCUCACUGAGAGCAAAACACUCGACUAGAUCACGACUCUUUGCUGUCCUUGCUCCGAAAUGGUGGACCGAGCUCUCUGAAGACACCAGGACCGCAGAGAGCCUUCACAUCUUCCGCCGCAAACUAAAGACACAUCUCUUCAGACUCUACCUCGACUAGGAGACUAACAAAUUGUAGCACUUAAAUUAGCUUUCCAACUGUCGUCGUUCCAGCGCCGCACAAAGCGGGGGAAGAGACUACGAGGACAGAUGAGGGAUGGGCGGAUUCAAAGACGGUUGAAAGAUGGAAGGAUGGAUGGAGACGGAGUACAGGCAGGAGCCUGCAUUCUGCCUCACAUGACCUUCGUUGAACGCAGCAAAGCAAAGUCUUCCAGUAAAAUGAUGUCAUCUCUGAAUAAAACAUAGUUCUCUGUUGGAGGAAUGAUCUCAUCGCUUUACCGGAAAAAAUCUUCCUCUUAAAUGCCAGUGUCAUCACACCAGCAAGUCAGAUUUAAAUAUACAGUGUGACUUCAUACGAAUGAAGGCGCACACACACACACACACACACACACACACACACACACACACACACACAUACAUAUGGCUGAUAACACAUCAUCAAAUCUUAAAGAUACACUCCCUGACUGUGUCAGAUUAUUUUAGAGGGCUG
ensembl:lncRNA